rnacentral:rRNA from 1 species
AACGUAGGAGGCGAGCGUUAUCCGGAUUUACUGGGCGUAAAGCGCGUGCAGGCGGCUCGAUAAGUUGGAUGUGAAAGCUCCUGGCUUAACUAGGAGAGGUCGUUCAAUACUGUCGGGCUAGAGGAUGGGAGAGGGAGGUGGAAUUUCAGGUGUAGUGGUGGAAUGCGUAGAUAUCUGAAGGAACACCAGUGGCGAAGGCGGCCUCCUGGCCCAUUUCUGACGCUAAGACGCGAAAGCUAGGGUAGCAAACGGGAUUAGAUACCCCCGUA